GUAAUAGCAGUAAUAAACUGGUCCUGAACAUCUCUAAAACUAAGAGCAUUGUAUUUGAUACAAAUCAUUCCCUAAGUUCUAGACCUCAGCUGAAUCUGGUAAUGAAUGGUGUGGUAGUUGAACAAGUUGAGGAGACUAAAUUACUUUGUGUUACCUUAGAUUCUAAACUGUCAUAGUCAAAACAUAUAAACUCAGCAAAAAAAGAAAUGCCCUUUCACUGUCAACUGCAUUUAUUUUCAGAAAACUUAACAUGUGUAAAUAUUUGUAUGAACAUAACAAGAUUCAUCAACUGAUACAUAAACUGAGCAAGUUCCACAGACAUGUGACUAACAGAAAUUGAAUAAUAUGUCCCUGAACAAAAGGGAGGGGGGAAAUCAAAAGUAACAGUCGGUAUCUGGUGUAGCCACCAGCUGCAUUAAUAACUUCUUUGGGAUAGGGGGCAGCAUUUUCACUUUUGGAUGAAUAGCGUGCCCAGAGUAGACUGCCUCCUACUCAGUCCCAGAUGCUAAUAUAUGCAUAUUAUUAUUAGUAUUGGAUGGAAAACACUCUGAAGUUUCUAAAACUGUUUGAAUGAUGUCUGUGAGUAUUACAUAACUCAUAUGGCAGGCAAAAACCUGAGAAAAAAUCAAAACAGGAAGUGAGAAAUCUGAGGUUUGUUGUUUUUGAACUCAGUCCCUAUCGAAUACACAGUGGGAUAUGGGUCAUUUUGCACUUCCUAUGGCUUCCACUAGAUGUCAACCGUCUUUACAACGUUGUUUCUUGCUUCUAGUGUGCAGGGGGGCCGGAUGAGAGCUGUUUGACUAAGGGGUCUGGCAGCAGCCUUGUUCUCAGUCAUGCGCAUUUCACAUGAGAGGAAGCUCUCGUUCCAUUGCAGACAAUGGAAUUCUCCCGCUGGAACAUUAUUGAACAUUUAUGAUAAAAACAUCCUAAAGAUUGAUUCUAUACUUAGUUUGACAAGUUUCUACGAACUGUAAUAUAACUUUUUGAACUUUUCGUCCGAUGUUUGGUUGGACCUGAACGCGCGUUUGGAUUUGUUUAUCUAACGCCCUAACAAAAGAAGCUAUUUGGACAUAAUUGAUGAACUUUAUGGAACAAAUCAAACUUUUAUUGUCGAACUGCGAUUCCUGGGAGUGCAUUCUAAUAAAGAUCAUCAAAGGUAAGUGAAUAUUUAUAAUGCUAUUUCUGACUAAUGUUGACUGCGCAACAUGGCAGAUAUUUAUUUUGGCUGUUUUGGGCUCUGAGCACCGUACUCAGAUUAUGUAUUUUCUGUAAAGUUUUUUAAAAAUCUGACACAGCGGUUGCAUUAAGGAGAAGUUUAUCUAUAUUUGCAUGUAUAACACAUGUAUUUUCAUCAACAUUUAUAAUGAGUAUUUCUGUAAAUUCAUGUGGCUCUCUGCAAAAUCACUGCAUGUUUUGGAACUACUGAACAUAACACGCCAAUGUAAAAUGAGAUUUUUGGAUAUAAAUAUGAACUUUACCGAACAAGACAUACAUGUAUUGUGUAACAUGAAGUCCUAUGAGUGUCAUCUGAUGAAGAUCAUCAAAGGUUAGUGAUUCAUUUUAUCCCUAUUUGUGCUUUUUGUGACUCCUCUCUUUGGCUGGAAAAAUGGCAGGGUUUUUCUGUGAGUUGGUGGUGACCUAACAUAAUCGUUUGUGGAGCUUUCGGUGUAAAGCAUUUUUUAAAUCAGACACUGUGGCUGGAUUAACGAGAAUGUUAUCUUUAAAAUGAUGCCUAAUACUUGUAUGUUUGAGAAAUUAGAUUUAUGAGAUUUCUGUUGAUUUGUAUUUGGCGCCCUGCAAUUUCAAUGGCUGUUGGCGAGGGGUUCCCAGACAGGUUAAGUACUGCAGUGCAUCUCCUCCUCAUGGACUGCACCAGAUUUGCCAGUUCUUUUUUUGAUUAUUUUUUUAUUUCACCUUUAUUUAACCAGGUAGGCUAGCUGAGAACAAAUUCUCAUUUACAACUGCGACCUGACCUUCUUUCUGUGAGAUGUUACCCCACUCUUCCACCAAGGCACCUGCAAGUUUCUGGUAAUUUCUAGGGGGGAAUGGCCCUAGCCCUCACCCUCCGAUCCAACAGGUCCCAGACGUGCUCAAUGGGAUUGAGAUCUGGGUCCUUCGCUGGCCAUGGCAGAACACUGACAUUCCUGUCUUGCAGGAAAUCACGCACGGAACGAGCAGUAUGACUGGUGGCAUUGUCAUGCUGGAGGGUCAUGUCAGGAUGAGUCUGCAGGAAGGGUACCACAUGAGGGAGGAGGAUGUCUUCCCUGUAACGCACAGCGAUGAGUUUGCCUGCAAUGAAAACAAGCUCAGUCCGAUGAUUCUGUGACACACAGAAUUCUGCCCCUGACCAUGAUUCUGCCCCAGACCAUGAUGGACCCUCCACCUCCAAAUUGAUCCCGCUCCAGAGUACAGGCCUCGGUGUAAUGCUCAUUCCUUUGACGAUAAACGCAAAUCUGACCAUCACCCCUUUUGAGACAAAACCGUCACUCGUCAGUGAAGAGCACUUUUUUCCAGUCUUGUCUGGUCCAGCGACGGUGGGUUUUGUGCCCAUAGGCGACGUUGUUGCCGGUGAUGUCUUGUGAGGACCUGCCUUACAACAGGCCUACAAGCCCUCAGUCCAGCCUCUCUCAGCCUAUUGCGGACAUUCUGAGCACUGAUGGAGGGAUUGUGCGUUCCUGGUGUAACUCGAGCAGUUGUUGUUGCCAUCCUGUACCUGUCCCGCAGGUGUGAUGUUCAGAUGUACCGAUCCUGUGCAGGUGUUGUUACACGUGGUCUGCCACUGCGAGGAUAAUCAGCUGUCAGUCCUGUAGAGCUGUCUUAGGCAUGAAUUGUUUAUAGUUCUUUGAACAAGCAUGGGAAACAGUGUUUAAACCCUUUAUUUGGAUUUUUAUGAUUUAUCUUUCAAAGACAGGGUCCUGAAAAAGGGACAUUUCUAUUUUUGCUGAGUUUAGAUUCAAUGGUUGUAAAGAUGGGGACAGGUCUGUCCGUAAUACAUUGGUUCUCUGCUUUUUUGACACCACACUCCAAAAAGCAAGUCCUGCAGGCCGUAAAGUCCUAUGCCUCAAAGAAAGACCUAGUGAAGCUGUAGGACAGAGUGACUGCACUUCUUCUUUUUAUAAAAAAGCAUUAAUGUGUUGAAAAUUCCAAAUAGUUUGCAUAGUCAACUUACGCACAUCUCUAACACACACACUUCCCCACCAGACAUGCCACCAGGGGUCUUCUCAUAGUCCCCAAAUCCAGAACAAAUUCAAGAAAGCUUACAGUAUUAUAUAGAGACAUUAUUGCAUGGAACUCCAUUCCAUCUCAUAUUGCUCAAAUGAACAGCAAACCUGGUUUAAAAAAUUUGAUAAAGCAAAACCUCUCCCCUAUUUGACCUAGAUAUUUUGUGUGUAUGUAUCCUUUAUCUAACUAGGCAAGUCAGUUAAGAACAAAUUGUUAUUUACAAUGACAGCCUACCCCAGGCGACACUGGGCCAAUGGUGCACUGCCCUAUGGGACUCCAAGUCACAGCCAGAUGUGAUACAGCCUAGACUUGAAACAAGGACUGCAGUGACACCCCUUGAACUGAGAUGCAGUGCCUUAGACCGCUGCACCACUCAGGAGCCUGAGUGAUAUGUAGGCUAUGAGUACCGUUUUUAAAUAUAUAUAUAGUUCUGCCCUGGAGCUGUUCUGGUCUAUAAAUGUUCUGUAUUAUAUAAUGUCAAAAAACCUGACCGGUUACGGUCAGUAACACCCCAAGGACCGGGUGUUACUAUAACAGGGUUACAAAACAAGAAUUUUGCAGGAAUUGAAUGCACCUUAACUGUGUUAUUGAGUCAAUGAGGGGUGGCUAAUGGCUAUCAUGGACGUUCCUUAGAAUAAAUGUAAAACAGAAAUAGAAUGGAUUCACCUCAGUACCACAUACAUUUGCAUCAGCAAUUGCUCCAUAACCAGUCAUCCAGGUUCACAGUGGAAAUGAUCAAAAGUCUUUUAAAUCUCUCUGUAACCAACCUUGGGAAGGUAAAUGCUGAUUAUGGUGAGCAAGUCAUGUAUCUGCCCCAUUUCUAAUGCCCACUCUGUUAAGUCAACAUAGCAUUUAUUGACUCAGAUUGGCCUAGACCUACACACUGAUGUUAUGGUCUGUAUGAUGUGAAAUGAUGCUAUAUCUAGUCAUCUAUAACUGUAAAAGUGAAUGUAGAAACCCAUGCCGCUAAAGAAUGUGAGGGAAACCGCAGGGGAAACGGCUUGUUCAGUCAGAUCCUGCUGCUCAGGUAUCAUUUUUUUAGGUUCAAACAUUCAGAUAGGCAAGUACAUGCACUCAGGCCAGGGUGGAGCAUGCUUUUGCUCCAACCAAACAGUCACACAGCUGAUUCAGCUAAUUCACUUUCUUGAAAACUAUUUAACAGAUUUGUUGUAUCAGGUGUGUUACUGCUUUGACUAGAGCGAAAGCCUGCAGCCAUACCGGCCCUCUGCGGAUAAGACUAUUCCAUUGGUCCCAUUACACCAGGCAAGCUCAAUCAAGCUCAGCUAAAGUAUUUGAAAGAUUUGCUUGAUUUGAACCCAGGUUGGAAUUAAAUACACUCAACACAGAUUAGGCCAUUAUUAUUAACGUAAUUCGGUGGAUGCCGAUUAGACCUUCACUAGUGCUGUAAGUCAGUAGGUACACAUUUUAGACUCUUAAUGUAAUUCUUAAGGCAGGCCAUCCAGAGUCGCAGCAGGGCAAUUGAGGCUAUUUUUAUUAGAUUGCAUUAGGGGGAUACUGUGGCAGGAGAUGGGGUCAAGCUUUCGCUAUUAUUAAAUGAGAUAGUUUGGUGCAGUAAGGCAGCCCCAGCCAACUGGGGUGGCAGGUAGCCUAGUGGUUAAAGUGUUGGGCGAGUAACCAAAAUGUUACUGGGAUCGAAUCCCAAGCUAACAAAAUACAAAUCCGUUGCUCUGCCUGCCCCUGAACAAGGCAGUUAACCCACUGUUCCCCGAAAUAAUAAUUAGUUCUUUAACUGACUUGCCCAGUUAAAAAUAAUAAUAAUAAUUUUUAAAAAGCUGGAGGAUAUGAGAAUAGACUUAACAACGUGGAGCUGAAGGGCAGACUGUAUCAUACACUAUGACCACUGUUACUGUAAUAGACAGCCUACUUGCAUCUUUAAGUUAGGACCACCAAAGCUAUCCAACCACCAGGUUCAUGGUACAACACAAGAAGAAGUGUUAUCGUCAAUGUCCUACUGUCAUUCUCUUAGGACCCGAUUCAGAGUUGCGAUAUGCAUGUGCUACUCAGACUUAUUGUCAAUUGGAAGACUUCAGUUAAGAUGCCCUUAGCUUGAAACAUGCCACAAGUGUGGGCAUGUUGUGGUAUGUAUCAAGUACGGUGGUUGUGUUGUUUUUGUGUUGUGUCUGUUUAUUUGCUUUUCAUUUUUGCUUUGUUGUUUGUACUUACAUAAAAAAUAAAAUAAGAGAUGUUCAAGAUGCCCUUAGCCAUUUAGACAGCAGGACCUCCCUCCUUCAGCCAGCAGUCUGAGAGACUGUUUAAAGAGACAUCAGUGGUGAGUGGGCAGGCCAACCCAUUUUCUGUGUGAAUUGAAUGAGUGCGACUACGUGUUUCUGCAAGAGAGAGUGUCCAUCAGUGUCCUCUCACUCCUCCUUCCCCCCAUCCCUCCCGCUCUACCAUUGCGCAGAGGAUACAUGGCACAGACUCAGGAAAUUCCACACUUCUCUGUGAGGAGGGAGGGGAGAGGCAGGAGCACAGGAGUGGGCAGAGGAGAACUCUGGAGGAGGAGAGAGGUCAUCUGUGGACUGUAUACGAAUGGAAAGACAAUGAUCCAAAACACACUUCCAGGCUGUGUAAGGAGAGUGAUGGAGUGCUGCAUCAGAUGAACUGGCCUCCACAAUCACCCGACCUCAACCCAAUUGAGAUGGUUUGGGAUGAGUUGGACCGCAGAGUGAAGAAAAAGCAUCCAAAAAGUGCUCAACGUGUGGGAACUCCUUCAAAACUAUUGGAAAAGCAUUCCUCAUGAAGCUGGUUGAGAGAUUGCUAAGAGUGUACAAAGCUGUCAUCAAGGCAUAGGGUGGCUACUUUGAAGAACGUAAAAUAUAAAAUAUAUUUUGAUUUGUUUAACACUUUUUUUGGUUACUACAUGAUUCCAUAUGUGUUUUUCAUAGUUUUGAUGUCUUCACUAUAAUUCUACAAUGUAGAAAAUAGUAAAAAAUAAAGGAAAAAAAACUUGAAUGAGUAGGUGUGUCCAAACUUUUGACUGGUACUGUAUACACUUUUACAGUAUUUUGUGUAGAUCAAUGACCAAAAAUUACAAUUAAAUAUAUUUCAAUCCCACUUUUUAACGCACCAAAUGUUAAAACAGUUCAAGGGGGUGUAGAUAUUCUGUAGGCACUGUAUGUGAUGGGUCCCAUAGCACUUGGACAGAAGGAAACUUGCUCACUCUCGAAACUAUUCUAGUGUCUAAUUUGGCCUUUCAGAGUCAUCCAGCUGUACCCUGUAACAUAUCAUAUUUGGAAAUUGAAUAUAAACUUUAGUUCUAUAUUUCCAGCUAAGACAAAUGAACUGCAAUGCCUCAUACAGCAAACAUUGAACUUGCAAUGUCAGCUAAAUAAACUCAUACGGUGGGUGUACAGAAGAAAUAAAACGAUUGAGAUUGCAAAAUCUCUCUCACAUAGACCCCACCCAGUACAACACACACAGGAACUUCUUCCUAUGCAGUCUGGCAUGGCCUUGCAGUGGAGGCUUUCCAAGUCAAACAAUCAACUAAAACCUGUUCUUCAGAAACAAAGCAGGAGGAUCAUAGAGAGCUAAACCAGAGAGGAUAGCACGCUUUACAUCACUGGAAUCCAAGAAGUCAUAUUAGCAGUCUAAUUUAUCUUCUCAUUCCCCAUCUCUUUCACUUAAGGUUUUUAACUAAUUACUCUAAUAGUCUACUGUGAACUACAGUCAUUGAAAAAAUAGCCCUUGCACACCUACUUUGUGUAUGUUUGAAAAAGAAGAAAACAGCAUACUGGUGUUCUUGAAUACUUCACAAUUUGAUUCAAAUAUGAGCAUAUAAGAUCACCAGUGUGCUACGAGCAGCAGCAGAGUGCAGGGGACAGUUUUUGAGGAAGGGGGGAUGAGUUCAACACACUGGUGUGAUUGAAGGAGUGGGAAGGGAGGAAGAGUUCAGUGGUGUAAACUACUUAAGUACAAAUACUUUACAGUACUACUUACAGUGCCUUGCGAAAGUAUUCGGCCCCCUUGAACUUUGCGACCUGAUAGACUGAUAGAGACAUAGAGACAUAGAGACAACUGAUAGAGACAUACCCCAAGCAACUUACAGCUGUAAUCGCAGCAAAAGGUGGCGCUACAAAGUAUUAACUUAAGGGGGCUGAAUCAUUUUGCACGCCCAAUUUUUCCGUUUUUGAUUUGUUAAAAAAGUUUGAAAUAUCCAAUAAAUGUCGUUCCACUUCAUGAUUGUGUCCCACUUGUUGUUGAUUCUUCACAAAAAAAUACAGUAUUAUAUCUUUAUGUUUGAAGCCUGAAAUGUGGCAAAAGGUCGCAAAGUUCAAGGGGGCCAAAUACUUUCGCAAGGCACUGUAAGUAGUUUUUUGGGGGUGUCUGUACUUUACAUGACUAUUUAUAUUUUACUUCACUACAUUCCUAAUGAAGAUAAUGUACUUUUUACUCCAUACAUUUUCCCUGACACCCAAAAGUACUCGUUACAUUUUGAAUGCUUAACAGGACAGGAAAUGGUCCAAUUCACACACUUAUCAAGAGAACAUCCCUGUCAUCUCUACUACCUCUGGUGGACUCAUUAAACACAAAUGCUUUGGGGAAUGGAUAGUAGGGGAACGGGUACUGGAACAGUAAGGGAAUGGAUACUGGAACAGUAGGGGAGGGAUACUGGAACAGUAGGGGAAUGGAUACUGGAACAGUAGGGGGAGGGA
ensembl:lncRNA